AUUGAACGCUGGCGGCAGGCCUAACACAUGCAAGUCGAACGAGUGGCGGACGGGUGAGUAAUGUCUGGGAAACUGCCUGAUGGAGGGGGAUAACUACUGGAAACGGUAGCUAAUACCGCAUACCAUCAGAUGUGCCCAGAGGGGAUUAGCUAGUUGGUGGGGUAACGGCUCACCAGGGCGACGAUCCCUAGCUGGUCUGAGAGGAUGACCGGCCACACUGGAACUUGGACACUGUCCAGACUCCUAGAGGAGGCAGCAGGGGGGAAUAUGGCACAAUUGGCGCAAGCGUGAUGCAGCCAUGCCGCGUGUAUGAAUAAGGCCUGCGGGUUGUAAAGUACUUUCAGCGGGGAGGCGUUACUCGCAGAAGAAGCACCGGCUAACUCCGUGCCAGCCGCCGCGGUAAUAC
rnacentral:rRNA from 1 species